UGUCUGUGGAGAGAAGCAAAGAGGCUCUUGGGUGGGGCUGGACCUAAUCUCAUCGCAGAAACAACCAAUCCUGGCCAUUUGAUGAACUUUUUGCUAGACUAGAAAUCUGGUGAUAUCACAAGAAUUCAGAAGAACCACAAUAUUGUUUUCAUUAUUAACAACACAUUUCUAUUCAAUGUGAAUGCUCCCCCAAAGGUCAAUUGGCCCUCCUUGUCCUCACUGUCUUGUUCCUGUACUCUCAUGUAUCUUUUACAAAGGCCCAUCUGUCAUACCAGUGAGGGGCACCAUACCUUCUUUUAUAUCUCUUAACAUUAUUACCUGGAUACCACCAGAACAUGAGCUGGAGGUUAUUUUAUGACUGGCCCACCUUCUUGGUCAAAACAUACCUUUCUCAGGUGACAUUCAUGCAAUUCAUCUGACAAAAAUCACCACAAGAUUCCUUAAAAUAGGAAACUUCCGGUAAACCAACACUUCUCAUUGUUCUAUUGAUAGUGACAAAUUAGUGAUUCUAAAUAUCAGGUAGCUUCUGGUCAUUUGAAAACAUCCAAUUGAACAGGAGUUUUUCUAUAGAAGCAGUCUCUUACCUCUCAAGCAUACAAUGCUCUUGCCACUUCCUCCUGUAAAUCUUGAAAUUUCUCAGACUUGUGAAUGUUAAAAAUUUCCCCAUCAGGGAAUUCUCAAUUGGAACAAUUCCCUACUGGGAACAUUCCCCAUUUUGACUGUGAGAACUCGCCAGGAUCAGAAAUGGGAGGACCUCUACUCCACCUGUACUUAAGACUGCUUUAGGGGAGAAAACUCCUUGCUAAACAAUGAAAGUACUUGGACCCAUGCGUAUGAUGAGGCAGGGAGUUCUUUGAGCCAUGCCUGUUUUUAGAAUUGAUACCAUGGGAUGUUAGGUACCUAUAAAGGUCAGGCAACUUGUAAACUUGCCAGGAGCAAAGCGGUGAAAAUUUACUUAGAGGUUUUCUCUUGAGGGGAUUAGUUGCCUCAGCUGUGUUUUUUCUGAUUCAAACUUACUAAAGGGAAUAAGUCGACCCAGCAGUGUUUUUAGAAUGGGCUGUCCUUUGGAAAACGUCUACAGUGAUUGGUAGAUGUAAGGACUUAGGGGAGGUGACAUAGGAGAAAAACCCCUAUAUAAGAAAAAGCAGAAUCUCUUGAGAGGGGAAUCCUUUUGGAGAAAUCUCUGAUGAGGAUCACUUGGGAAGAAUCUCUUGAGAGAGGCUCUGUAGAAGGGAAGCUCUUGGAGGACAAUCUCUAAGGAGUUCUCACUGGAGCUCCUCUGGAGGGAACUCUGUCCCUCUGGAGGCUCUUGAGAGAGGCCCUUUGAAACAGUCUCUGGCUGGAAGGCUCUUUGAGGAGGACUCUGGCUGGAACUCUCUCUGAGGAGACUCUGUCACUAGAAUCCUUGCUUAGACAGACCUUGUGAAACGAACAAAGCUAUGCUCACAACCCUCCAAGAUCAGACAUCAGUUCAUGAGAACCAGAAGGGAAAAUGAGAGAGCCUGUUGAUUUUGAAUGAAGUCUGGAUCCCAAGAAUGGAGGGAAAGGAGACACCACAAGAAUGGCAACUAGAUGAAUCCUGAGCAGAGAUGAAGAAAUGAAGAGAUGAUGAAGAGAGCUGGCUCCAUCUGCUGGGAUGGCAGCAGCACUGAACAACUUAACUAAGGGCAGCUCUUGGUGCAGGAUCCUAGUUAACUGAAAGCCAUGGAUAAAUGCAAACUUUUUCAAGGUCAAUAUUCUGGACCUUCUUGACCCAAUCAAUAUUCCCAUCCAGUUUAUUACUAAAGCCACUUAUAAAGUGCAAAAUUGAUUAUUUCCAACUCUCCCCUUCCCCUUUAGGCUCUGGAAAAAGAACUACGUAAGGAGUAAGAGAAUAAAGUCUAUGUUGUCCCUACAUGAUACAGCUUCUCUACUAAUCACCAAAGACUGGUUCUCGAAUAGCUAGUUCUUCCUGUACAGCUUUGAACUAGAGUGAAUUAAGUUAUCCACCCCAUAAUCGUGUCUUCUUUCCCUUCCCUGUCCCUCAUCCCAGAUCACCAGAGGGGGGCCAGUACUCACCUGAAGGCUACAGUGUAGUAGGAGUCACUGAUGGCGGUGAGGCAGGCCACUGCACCCUGGGGCCCAAAGCGCGUCUUCACAAAGGGCCUUGGGUGGAACAUGCUCAACAGUCUGUGGAUGAUGACCUGUGGGAGAUGAAUACCGGCCCUCUGAGAGGCUGGGCAGAGUUCCUUGAUGGGGCUCACAGAGGACUGCCUCAAUGCUGGGUUUG